rnacentral:rRNA from 1 species
AACGUAGGAGACAAACGUUAUCCGGAGUUACUGGGCGUAAAGGGCGUGUAGGCGGUUUGUUAAGUUUGGCGUGAAAGCUCUCGGCUAAACCGGGAGAGGUCGUUGGAUACUGGCAAACUAGAGGACGGUAGAGGCGUGUGGAAUUCCGGGUGUAGUGGUGAAAUGCGUAGAGAUCCGGAGGAACACCAGUGGCGAAGGCGACACGCUGGGCCAUACCUGACGCUAAAGCGCGACAGCAUGGGGAGCAAACGGG